AAUAGAUGACGCCGUUGAUUUUUUUCUUACAUGUUUGACCAUUCAUCUUAUUUAAAAACAACAUUUUUAUUAUGAGUUGUUUUAUCACCCAUAGUACUUUAAGUGUGAUUUAUAUCUUAUACAUUUAUAUAAAGUUUUUGAAUAAGACGAAUGGUCAAACAUGUGAGAAAAAGUCAACGGCGUCAUCUAUU
rnacentral:pre_miRNA from 1 species